rnacentral:rRNA from 1 species
UAGGGAAUCUUCCGCAAUGGACGAAAGUCUGACGGAGCAACGCCGCGUGAGUGAAGAAGGAUUUCGGUUCGUAAAACUCUGUUGUUAGGGAAGAAAAAAUGUAUAGUAACUAUAUACAAAAGAGACGGUACCUAACCAGAUAGCCACGGCUAACUACGUGCCAGCAGCCGCGGUAAUACGUAGGUGGCAAGCGUUGUCCGGAAUUAUUGGGCGUAAAGCGCGCGCAGGUGGUUUAGAAAGUCUGAUGUGAAAGCCCACGGCUCAACCGUGGAGGGUCAUUGGAAACUAAUAAACUUGAGUGCAGGAGAGAAAAGUGGAAUUCCUAGUGUAGCGGUGAAAUGCGUAGAGAUUAGGAGGAACACCGGUGGCGAAAGCGGCUUUUUGGCCUGCAACUGACACUGAGGCGCGAAAGCGUGGGGAGCAAACAGG